CUAAGUACCCCGAGGAAAAGAAAUCAACCGAGAUUCCCCCAGUAGCGGCGAGCGAACGGGGAGGAGCCCAGAGCCUGAAUCAGUGUGUGUGUUAGUGGAAGCGUCUGGAAAGGCGCGCGAUACAGGGUGACAGCCCCGUACACAAAAAUGCACAUAUUGUGAGCUCGAUGAGUAGGGCGGGACACGUGGUAUCCUGUCUGAAUAUGGGGGGACCAUCCUCCAAGGCUAAAUACUCCUGACUGACCGAUAGUGAACCAGUACCGUGAGGGAAAGGCGAAAAGAACCCCGGCGAGGGGAGUGAAAAAGAACCUGAAACCGUGUACGUACAAGCAGUGGGAGCCUCUUAAUGGGGUGACUGCGUACCUUUUGUAUAAUGGGUCAGCGACUUAUAUUCUGUAGCAAGGUUAACCGAAUAGGGGAGCCGAAGGGAAACCGAGUCUUAACUGGGCGUUAAGUUGCAGGGUAUAGACCCGAAACCCGGUGAUCUAGCCAUGGGCAGGUUGAAGGUUGGGUAACACUAACUGGAGGACCGAACCGACUAAUGUUGAAAAAUUAGCGGAUGACUUGUGGCUGGGGGUGAAAGGCCAAUCAAACCGGGAGAUAGCUGGUUCUCCCCGAAAGCUAUUUAGGUAGCGCCUCGUGAAUUCAUCUCCGGGGGUAGAGCACUGUUUCGGCAAGGGGGUCAUCCCGACUUACCAACCCGAUGCAAACUGCGAAUACCGGAGAAUGUUAUCACGGGAGACACACGGCGGGUGCUAACGUCCGUCGUGAAGAGGGAAACAACCCAGACCGCCAGCUAAGGUCCCAAAGUCAUGGUUAAGUGGGAAACGAUGUGGGAAGGCCCAGACAGCCAGGAUGUUGGCUUAGAAGCAGCCAUCAUUUAAAGAAAGCGUAAUAGCUCACUGGUCGAGUCGGCCUGCGCGGAAGAUGUAACGGGGCUAAACCAUGCACCGAAGCUGCGGCAGCGAC
rnacentral:rRNA from 1 species